CAAAAAGCAUUGACGAGGAGGAGUACAUGCAGUUUCCGGAUGGACAGAGAGAAAUUGGUUGGUGAAAAAUUUCGUGAAGGACGCAUGGAAGUAGCCUUUGAGCUUUGGAUCGAACAGGUAUAGUUUUUACGGCUUUAGUAGACUCCAACGGAGAUUCCCACCGUUAUCAGGGAAGCGAUAUCGGAAUUAAAAAUAGAUUCCCGUAUUGUAUUGAGUGCAGAAGUAUUUCUGAAUCUAGGUGGUACCACGGACAUGUAUGUUCGCCCUGGGC
rnacentral:ncRNA from 1 species